AUUCUAUUCACCCUUUAGUAAGAGAAAGAAUGGAGAAUGAAGAAGAAGAAGAAGAGAGGAGAAGAAGAGAAGGGAAGAGAGAGAAAUUGUGGUAGAGAUCGAUUUGCUCAGGAGAUUGCAAGAGGAUUCAGCAAAAAGGAAUUCUAGAUAGCCGUGAGAGAGAUUCCUCAACACCAGGAGAGAUUAUGGGCCUUGAUAUUCACUAUGAAGAGAGCAGUCAGUUGCAUGAUGAUAAUUUAGAGCAUGAUGACGUGGUUAUGGAUCAGUUGGCUUGUAUUCUGGAUCUUGAUGAUUUCAGCCAUGGGCAUGACUGCUAAUGUGAUGAUUGUGCAUACGGUGGACAACAAUAUUGAGAACUGAUGUAUCUAAUUAUCCUUUUUGUGUAUACAUGUGGAUAGUGGUGAAAAAUCAGUUUUUGUUGAUACAGGUUGGAGGGAAAAACAACUGUUGGAAGCGAUUUUGUGUCAAUAUUUGUUUUAGAAUGGGACUAAUGUCUAUACAUGGAUUACUAUAUAUGUUGUUAUGAUUUAUUGUAUAUAUGGUAUCAAGUAUCGCAUAGAAGCACUGGGUGGAUAUUAUC